GCACUCGCUUGGGUGGUACAUAUCCUCAAACUGGAAUGAUAUAGAGGAGAGUAGCGUGGCUGCAGGGAAAGCGUGACACGCAAAAUUAUAAAGCGUGGCACAUUUUU